UAUUCCAGUAUUCAUACGCUCGUAUCAAAGAUUAAGCCAGGCAAGUGUAAGUAUAAGAUACUUUAUCGAAACUGCGGACGGCUCAUUAUAUCAGCUAUAGUUUAUUUGAUAAUCCCUCAAUAGUUGGAUAACAGUAGUAAUUCUAGAGUUAAUAUAGGCAUCAAAGCGGAACUCUCGGGAACCGCGGUGUUUAUUAGUAGUAAACAUUCAAUUUUUGGAGGGGAUUUGGUGAGUCAUAAUAACCUUUGGAAAUGCAUAUCCUCGUGACGGCAAUGGAUCAUUCAAGUUUUUGCCUUUUCAGCUUGGGAUGGUAGUGUAUUGGAUUACCAUGGCUUUAAGGGGUAAGGAAAAGUUGGGGCAGGAUUUGGGGGAGGGACCUUGAGAGACGGUUACCACAUCCAAGGAAGGCAGCGGGGGGGUAAAUUACCCAAUCCGGACCCAGGGAGGUAGUGCCAAUAAAUAACAAUGCCGGCCCUUUCUAGUUCGGCCAAUUGGAAUGAGACCAAUUUAAAUCCUUUAUGGAGGAUCAAUGGAGGCCAAUUGGGUC
rnacentral:rRNA from 1 species